AUGCAAGCAAAGGGUGAUAAGGGGGUCCCCAGGAUUGGGUGUGUGUCUGUGAGUGUGUGCGUGUGCGUGUGUGUGUGUGUGUGGGGGGCAGCAGGAGUCCAAGCCAAGCCAAAAGGUUUCUCACGUGCAAACUCGCAAUCUAAUCCUUUGGGAGUUGCGCCUAGGCUACGAGGGGCAAGUCUAUUUAAAAAAAAAAAAAUCAGGAGCAUCUCUUGGAGAAGCCCUUUCCAACAAAAUCAAAGCAGGACCCGAGAACCACAGACCGUCCCUAACAUCCCCGCUGCGAGGCCCGCGGGCUGUGGAAUCUCGCACGUCACCUGGACCCAGCAGGGAGGGCCGCUGAGAGAGGAAAAUACAUCAAAAUUUAAUAAGGGGCUUUCCCUGAAGAAGGAAACAAAUACGGAGAAAAUGGGGCAGACAAAUAAAGAUACGGUUUGCUUACAAUGUGUGAACUAAAGAAGACUAUCUGGAUAAAGACUGGACAGCUUCACCUGGAGUUUCUGGGGCCCCAUCUGAGGACAAUCUUCCUGGUUGGAGGAAGACCAUUCUUAAGGCAAGAGUUUAUGGUUUGCUGCACUGCUCUCCUAGGACCUGCACCACAGCUGGUAUUUCACCAGAGCCAUUGAAUGGAACCAUCAUCUACAAUUUGGAGACAGUAAACAACGUGGAAAGGACCCAGGGAAAACAGAAAUGGCAGCAGGGUAGAAACUUAAGGGACUUUGUGCAUGGGUUCAAGGAAAUUAUUACAAUAAUUUCAUUGAUUAUUAUCAAC
rnacentral:lncRNA from 1 species